UACGGGAGGCAGCAGUGGGGAAUAUUGCACAAUGGGCGCAAGCCUGAUGCAGCCAUGCCGCGUGUAUGAAAAAGGCCUUUCGGGUUGUAAAGUACUUUCAGUCGUGAGGAAGGUGUUAAGGUUAAUAACCUUAGCAAUUGACGUUAGCGACAGAAGAAGCACCGGCUAACUCCGUGCCAGCAGCCGCGGUAAUACGGAGGGUGCGAGCGUUAAUCGGAAUUACUGGGCGUAAAGGGCACGCAGGCGGUUAAUUAAGUUGGAUGUGAAAUCCCCGGGCUUAACCUGGGAAUGGCAUUCAAGACUGGUUAGCUAGAGUCUUGUAGAGGGGGUAGAAUUCCAUGUGUAGCGGUGAAAUGCGUAGAGAUGUGGAGGAAUACCGGUGGCGAAAGGCGGCCCCUGGACAAAGACUGACGCUCAUGUGCGAAAGCGUGGGGAGCAAACAGGGAUUAGAUACC
rnacentral:rRNA from 1 species